rnacentral:rRNA from 1 species
CCUACGGGUGGCUGCAGUGGGGAAUAUUGGACAAUGGGGGCAACCCUGAUCCAGCCAUGCCGCGUGUGUGAAGAAGGCCCUCGGGUUGUAAAGCACUUUCAGUGAGGAAGAACGCCUGGUGGUUAAUACCCAUCAGGAAAGACAUCACUCACAGAAGAAGCACCGGCUGAACUCCGUGCCAGCAGCCGCGGUAAUACGGAGGGUGCGAGCGUUAAUCGGAAUUACUGGGCGUAAAGCGCGCGUAGGUGGCUUGAUAAGCCGGUUGUGAAAGCCCCGGGCUCAACCUGGGAACGGCAUCCGGAACUGUCAAGCUAGAGUGCAGGAGAGGAAGGUAGAAUUCCCGGUGUAGCGGUGAAAUGCGUAGAGAUCGGGAGGAAUACCAGUGGCGAAGGCGGCCUUCUGGACUGACACUGACACUGAGGUGCGAAAGCGUGGGUAGCAAACAGGAUUAGAUACCCUGGUAGUC